CCUUUCUAUGGACGCCGCGCGCGCGCUCCCUGCGCUGGGGGAGGAGGAACACAUCCCGACGGGGGAACAAACCUCGACACAGGCGCAGUUAUCGUUAAACCAUUAAAUCGCACGACUUCUCUCCAAACACUCCGGUCUUUUGCUCAACAAUGAUUUGUCUCAGUGCCAAGUGACCCACAUCAAAUGAUGACCUUCUUCUCUGUGGCAUACAUUUUAAACAUGCUGUGAUAAACAUCGGGAAGAACAAACACAGCUUUUUAAAUGAUGAGCUUUCCAGAGCAUCAAAGCUACACCAAUUUUAAAAAGGCAGAUUUCCUGGCCCCAUGACUGAUCAGCCGUAACAUUAAAACACCUGACAGGAGAAGUGAAUGACAUUAAUUAUCCAUUACAGCGAGACGUGUCAAGGGUGGGACUUAUUAGACAAGAAGUGAAUAUUUUGUCCUUGAAGUUGAUGUGUUGAAAGCAAAAAAAAUAAAAAUGGGCAAGCGGAAGGAUCUGAGCGACUUCGACAAGGGCCAAAUUGUAAUGGCUAGACGUCUGGGUCAGAGCAACUCCCAAACUGCAGCUCUUGUGGGAUGUUCCCGGUCUGCAGUGGUCAGGACAUACCAAAAGUGGUGCAAGGAAGGACAACCGGUGAACCGGCGACAGGGUCAUGGACGGCCAAGGCUCAUCGAUUCGUGUGCAGAGCAAAAGUUGGCGCAUCUGGUAGAGUCCUACAGAAGAGCUACUGUAGCACAAAUUGCUGAAAAAGUUAACGCUGACCAUGAUAAAAAGGUCUCCGAACACACAGUGCAUCGUAGCUUGCUGCGCAUGGGGUUGCGUAGACGCAGAGCGGUCAGAGAUCCCUUGCUGACCCCUGUACAGAACCGAAAGCAGCUACAAUUUGCAAUGGAGCAAUGGAUGAAGGUGGAAGGGUUGGAAACUGUCUUGAAGGCGCUCCAUUAAACAUUUACAAUACUGUAAAGAUUCAAAUUUAUUGGGGAUGGCCUUACAACCCUUAGGACAGAAAAAGUUGGUUUUUGUUGGUCAUGGAAUGGCAUUUCAUUGGUUAAGAUGUUGGACUAUGGAGCAGAAGGUCACAGGUUUAAAAUCCAGCACCACAAAACUACCCCUUCUGGGCCCUUGAGCAAGGCCCUUAAACCUCAACUGCUCAGAUGUAUAAUGAGAUAAAUGUAGGUCGCUUUGAAAAUGUAUAAAUGUAAAUGAUAUUUUGAAACACCUGACUGAUAAUUACUCUCAUACAAAUAACUACAUAUUGAAAUAUUGUUUUUUUGUUUUUUUUCAUUACCU